UCCGGUAGUAAUAGCGAAGAGGUCACACCCGUUCCCAUACCGAACACGGAAGUUAAGCUCUUCAGCGCCGAUGGUAGUUGGGGUUCUUCCCUGUGAGAGUAGGACAUUGCCGGGC
rnacentral:rRNA from 1 species